AAACUUCAUGUAGAUGCCAGCAAUGUGGGUGUUGGGGCCGUCCUGUUGCAGGAGAAUGCGGAGGGUGUAGAGUGUCCUGUGAGCUUCUUCUCAAGAAAAUUUAACAAGCAUCAAUACAACUAUUCAGUGAUUGAGAAGGAGGCUUUGGCACUUGUUUGGGCUCUGCAGCAUUUUGAUGUCUAUGUCGGCUCAGGGUUAUCUCCGCUGACUGUCUUCACUGACCAUAACCCCCUCACCUUCUUGAAGUCACUGCAAAAUCCUAAUCAGAGGCUAAUGAGGUGGGCGCUGUUCCUGCAGCCAUAUAACCUAGACAUCCGACACAUUAAGGGGACUGACAAUGUAAUGGCAGAUGCCCUGUCUCGGGCACCUGUGGACCCUUAGUCUAUUUAUUCAUGCUGUCUCUCAUUUCCAUGUUCUCCUCUGCUCAUCUCUCGGCUCUUCAUUCCCUUAAAAUGCUCCUUUGGUACCAAGGCUGCUGGGUUGGUGAGGAUGGAGGGAUGUGCUGGAGGAUGCAGCCUGGGGGGAGUGCAGUACUGACUGUCAGUUAUUGGCUCCACGCCGCUACAGGUUCUUGGUUCUUGGUUCUUUUUGGCGUCUUCCUUGUACACUCAACACCAGCACACACAUCUCACUCAUCCAUACACUACAUUCACCACUGAUGCCACUACUCUCCACACCUCAUGCUUUUUGUACAUAUAAUUGUUCAAGUUAUAAUAAAACCUUUUCAUUUAGCACUUUCAA